UACGAAGGGGGCUAGCGUUGCUCGGAAUCACUGGGCGUAAAGGGUGCGUAGGCGGGUCUUUAAGUCAGGGGUGAAAUCCUGGAGCUCAACUCCAGAACUGCCUUUGAUACUGAAGAUCUUGAGUUCGGGAGAGGUGAGUGGAACUGCGAGUGUAGAGGUGAAAUUCGUAGAUAUUCGCAAGAACACCAGUGGCGAAGGCGGCAUCCUGGACCAUAACUGACGCUGAGGCGCGAAAGCUAGGGGAGCAAACGGG
rnacentral:rRNA from 1 species